GCUAGGUUACACCUUGUCAUCAUGUUAGUCAAGCUAACGUGGAGGUAAGAAAAUAGGACACUUGCAAGGAACCAGAGCCAUGCUGUUUUGUCCAAACAUCACUACGUAUGUACACUGAAAGAAACCAACACAGAAAAAUCAUGUGCUUUUUCACGUGAGCAUAUCUGAAAAUCAUCACGGUAAACUAACGUGAAUUUCCCAUGACUUCAAUAUGUUUUGUUUCUCAAAUGUAUGUGACCAUCACUUGUAUACCAACCAUAGUUACGUCAUUAUGCUUUAAUGUGAUGUUCAUGCUUGAUUCAUAUGAAUUACACUUGGAUUGGCCCCAUUCGUAUUUCUGUUGAUUUUCAAGUGAAAACCACGUUAAAAUCGCAUGUUUUGUUCUGUGAUGGCGAAUGUAGAGAACUGGUCAGAAAUCAAAAUGGCGAGUUGCCGAAAGUCGAGUUUUUGUGCUCGUUCUUUUUAAAAUAAAUUAGGGUCAUUAAAAGUUUUUCUUUUGAACAGAAGGUAGUUUAAAAAUCAAAUUAAAAUCGGGUGCAUGACCUGUGGACGAAAAUGUGCCGGUGUCACAAAAUAAAUAUCACCGGCCUUUGGAGGCACAAAGCUGUUCAGUGACCAGGAAUCUAUGCGAUUAAUCCGACGGUUGGAGCGGUGCCGGAAGCGAUCGCGGUGGAAUUUUGAGGAUUGCCAGUCAGAACUCAUCGCCAUUGCUGUCGAAAACUUCGGUUCAAAAAGUGUGUGAUUUAAAAAAAAAUGUGCAAAAUACAUUAUAUUUUAAAGAGA